rnacentral:rRNA from 1 species
UACGUAGGUGGCAAGCGUUGUCCGGAUUUAUUGGGCGUAAAGCGCGCGUAGGCGGUUACUUAAGUCGGAUGUGAAAGCCCUCGGCUUAACUGAGGAAGUGCACCCGAAACUGAGUAGCUAGAGUACGAAAGAGGGUCGCGGAAUUCCCGGUGUAGAGGUGAAAUUCGUAGAUAUCGGGAGGAACACCGGUGGCGAAGGCGGCGACCUGGGUCGAGACUGACGCUGAGGCGCGAAAGCGUGGGGAGCAAACAGG